rfam:Pteropus alecto contig83236, whole genome shotgun sequence.
UACUAUGGCCAUGCCACUCUGAACAAGCUCAAUUCCAUCUGAUCUUGGAAGCUAAGCAGGGUCAGGCCUGGUUAGUACUUGCAUGGGAGACCACCUAGCAAGACCAGGUGCUGUAGGCA